UGAGGAAUAUUGGUCAAUGGGAGGAAUCCUGAACCAGCCAUGCCGCGUGCAGGACGACGGCUCUACGAGUUGUAAACUGCUUUUGUACCGGGGUAAAAUGCCUUACGUGUAGGGUUUUGAAAGUACGGUACGAAUAAGGAUCGGCUAACUCCGUGCCAGCAGCCGCGGUAAUACGGAGGAUCCGAGCGUUAUCCGGAUUCAUUGGGUUUAAAGGGUGCGUAGGUUGUUUUAUAAGUUAGCGGUGAAAUACCGAUGCUCAACAUCGGGGCUGCCGCUAAUACUGUAGGACUAGAGAUCGGAUGCAGCAGGCGGAAUGUGUAGUGUAGCGGUGAAAUGCAUAGAUAUUACACAGAACACCGAUUGCGAAGGCAGCUUGCUAGGCCGGAUCUGACACUGAUGC
rnacentral:rRNA from 1 species